rnacentral:rRNA from 1 species
AUGAAGGAAGCCUUUGAUCCGCCCGCCUCGGCGGCAGCAGCAACGCCAGAAGCAGAUAACGGCGCCUCCAUCUUCACGAGGAAAAACAUUUGGAGUGAUGCGGCUGCCGAGGGAGACGACGAUUCCUCGCCUUGGCCGUGGGACGGUGUGAAGAGUGAAGAGGAUGCCGAUUUUCUUUCUCAUGCAAACAGGGCUUUGUCGUUUCUGGAUUAUGAAGCAGAGUCUUCGGAGUGCAAGUAUGCUACUGACAUUGGGUCACAUGUAUAUCCCAAGGAAGCAAUGUCACCACAAAGUGAAUAUGAUAGGCAGCGCCCUUACCUUCCUUUAUCGAGCUGUUCUUGGGAUUCUUCUUCAUCACUGGAAGCGAUGUCAGGCAAUCGAGAUGCAUCAGGUCAUGUAAUGGCAAAAGGCGGAACCAAAAGUGAUAUCUUUGCGCCAAGGCAUGAUUAUCUUGCGUCAUGUCCUACUACUGGUCCUCACAUGAGAAGAUCGUAUACUGAAGCAGCUAAAGUUGAUUGUAGCUUCGAUUGUCACUCAGAGCAGCACUACAAAGGAUUGGAUCGAUUUACUCCCUUCGCAAACUGCAAUGGUCAAUCUAUUGAAUGCCGCAGUGAGAUAGCUGAUAUGCCCAGAGGGGGCCGCUGUGUUGACGAGGCUACUUCGUUUUCAAGUCGAUGGUGCUUCGAAAAUGGGGGCCGGGGCUCUUCACUACCUGGAGGGCUGACAUAUGGCGAUGAGAUCCCUUCUCUGUCUAGUCGGAGGUGUAAUGGCAGUGGGGUGCUUUCACGCUCAAGCCAAUGGCAUUAUGGUGCUGAAAUUUCCUCGCUCUCAAGUAGGCAAGGUUAUGGCGAUGAAAUCCCUUCUCUGUCUAAUCAGAAGUUUAAUGGCAUUUCACGCUCAAAUCAUUGGAACUACAGUGCUGAAAUCCCCUCCCUCUCACGUAGACAGAGUUAUCGUGAUGAGAUCCCUUCUCUGUCUUCUCAAAAGUCUAAUGGCAUUUCAUACCCAAGACAGUGGCAGCAGUAUGGUGCAGACAUCCCCUCGUUCUCAAGUAGACAAGGUUAUGGUGAGGAGGUUCCAACAAUGUCUCACCAUUGGCGCUGCCGAGAUAAGAUACCUUUGUAUUCUGGUCAGAGGUGCCAUGAUGCUGAGGCACGUCGAUUAUCAAGCUACCAGCAAGGUCCUUUUCGUGGGAACAGGCAGCCAAGAGACAGUUUUGCCCAUGGUAUUGUUAGUAAUCAGCAAGUCAAGAUGACUGCAACCAGACAUACUGGCACAAGACCACGGGUGUCUAAUAGAGUUGUAAACAGCACUAGCAACUACAGAAAUGGCAGGAGGGAUAACCCACCGAGAAAUUCUGAGGAAAUAAGGGACCAAGUCUGUGGUCCCCGUGCAAGCAAAGUGAAUAACACAUCAACACCGACUGCGAAGAAAGAUAUCUUGAGCCCAUUGGUCCGUAGAGACCAAUUUAACAAAUCAGACUUUUCAAUUCAGUAUGAACAGGCCAAGUUCUUCAUGAUAAAGUCAUAUAGUGAAGAUGAUAUUCAUAAAGGUAUCAAAUACAAUGUUUGGGCAAGUACACCAAAUGGGAACAGUAAGCUGGAUACCGCUUUCCAUGAUGCCCAGAUUUUAAUGAAGGAAAAGGGUACAAAAUGUCCUGUCUUCCUCUUGUUUUCGGUUAAUACCAGUGGGCAGUUUGUAGGAUUGGCUGAGAUGUUAGGUCCUGUUGAUUUCAAGAAGACCAUGGACUUCUGGCAACAAAAUAAAUGGAAUGGCUUUUUCCCUGUUGUUUGGCACAUUGUAAAGGACAUUCCAAAUAGGCUCUUCAAACAUAUCACUCUAGAAAAUAAUGACAACAGACCUGUUACAUUCAGCAGGGACACUCAAGAGAUUGGCUUGCCCCAGGGUCUGGAAGUGUUGAAAAUUUUCAAGGCUUAUCGCCAUGGAACAUCAAUUCUGGAUGACUUUGACUUCUAUGAAGAAAAGGAAAACACUCGCUGUGCACGCAAGGGAAUAAAUGCAGACUCGUUACAUGAAGCCAGACUAUCGUACUUUGGAACAGAUGACUUGAAAUCAAUGGGAGACAUCGAGGCGAACAUGGAGAGCCUGAACCUCCACGAGCCUUGGGACUAA